CAUAUAUAUAUAUAUAUAUAUAUAAAAUGGUCUCCUUUUCAGGUGAGAGAGGACGCUAAAGGCAGUGCCUUUAAGGCAAGCCCCCAAUAUUGUUGUCCAAAAAAUUCAGGAGAAUGGUUGCCCCGGUAGAUUUUCGGAAGGGGCACUGAAAUUCGGGAGUCUCCCAGGAAAAUCGGGAGGAAUGGCAACUAUGGGUAUCGACUGAUUACUGAUAACGGCAUCGGCAGCUUCAAACCCUGACCAGAACCUCCCUAUUUAACAGAGAAGCAGUAGAAAAUGGAUGGCUGGAUUAGAUAACAAUUGUUUUCUGUCCCGUGUGAGUUCUGGGCUGUGAACGGAUGUUGCUUUUGGUGCCGCCAUGGAUCUUAUCCCAGGAAGCGGAAUUAGAGCCGGUGUUGUGCCGAAUUCUGCACCCCCGCCGUAAAAUGCACCCCCUGUCGGGAGCGCGCUUACGUCACUCGGUUGCAUCACCCGUCUCGAAAAGUAGCUAAACUCGGCUAAAAUCGCCUCUUUCGGCAUAAAAAUGUACAUAACAAGGUGAAUAAUCCAAGUUGUCUUUACUUUGGAUAUAUUAAUGGAUGGAUUAAUUGUGAUUCUUUAAUGAUUUCGCCGCCAUUGCCUUUAAUGAUUUCGUCGUCAUUCAAUCGCCUCUUUCGGCAGAAAAAUGUACAUAACAAGGUGAAUACUCCAAGUUGUCUUUACUUUGGAUAUAUUAAUGGAUGGAUUAAUUGUGAUUCUUCAAUGAUUUCGCCGUCAUUGCCUUUAAUGAUUUCGUCGUCAUUCAGAGACAUCAAGGAGAACGAAUGUUUGCUGCUUCACUCGACGGGAUCCAAUACAUGUAUUUUAAAAAUAUGACAUUUUCUUUAACUGUAAGAAGCUCAUGGGUGGAUGGAUGAAUACAUUAAUAAAUGAAUGCAUCUGA